rnacentral:rRNA from 1 species
UGGGGAAUAUUGCACAAUGGGCGCAAGCCUGAUGCAGCCAUGCCGCGUGUGUGAAGAAGGCCUUCGGGUUGUAAAGCACUUUCAGCGGGGAGGAAGGCGAUAAGGUUAAUAACCUUGUCGAUUGACGUUACCCGCAGAAGAAGCACCGGCUAACUCCGUGCCAGCAGCCGCGGUAAUACGGAGGGUGCAAGCGUUAAUCGGAAUUACUGGGCGUAAAGCGCACGCAGGCGGUCUGUCAAGUCGGAUGUGAAAUCCCCGGGCUCAACCUGGGAACGGCAUUCGAAACUGGCAGGCUAGAGUCUUGUAGAGGGGGGUAGAAUUCCAGGUGUAGCGGUGAAAUGCGUAGAGAUCUGGAGGAAUACCGGUGGCGAAGGCGGCCCCCUGGACAAAGACUGACGCUCAGGUGCGAAAGCGUGGGGAGCAAACAGG